rnacentral:rRNA from 1 species
GACGAACGCUGGCGGCGUGCUUAACACAUGCAAGUCGAACGGAAAGGCCUGCUUUCCCUUGUGGAUUGCGGGUACUCGAGUGGCGAACGGGUGAGUAACACGUGAGUGAUCUGCCCCCAACUUGGGUAUAAGCCUGGGUAACUGGGUCUAAUUCCCGAUUGGACUGCAGGGUGGUGCCUGUGGUGGAACACGAUUUUCUAGUGGUUGGGGAUGAGCUCGCGGCCUAUCAGCUUGUUGGUGGGGUAAUGGCCUAGCAAGGCGGCGACGGGUAGCCGGCCGGGGGGGGUGGGCGGGCACAUUGGAACUGGGAGACGGCCCAGACGCCUGCGGCAGGAAGGAGUGGGGAGGAGUGCACGAUGGGCGGAAGCCGGAAGGAGCGGGGCCGCGUGGAGGAUGACGGGUUACGGGUUGUUAUCGCCUGUCAACCGCGAGGAAGCGACUUGGUUGGUAGGGUAGUGACGGUAGUGGUAGAAGAAGCGACGGCUAACUACGUG